GGGCAUGUAGCUCAACGGCAGAGCUCCGAGCUUAUACCUCGGCGGUUCCUGGUUCGAAUCCAGGCAUGCCCA
rnacentral:tRNA from 1 species